rnacentral:rRNA from 1 species
GAUGAACGCUAGCUACAGGCUUAACACAUGCAAGUCGCGGGGCAGCAUUCACUUAGCUUGCUAAGUGAGAUGGCGACCGGCGCACGGGUGAGUAACGCGUAUCCAACCUGCCCUUGUCCACGGGAUAACCCGGUGAAAACCGGCCUAAUACCGUAUGAGGUCACAAGCGGACAUCCAACUGUGACGAAAGGUUUUGCGGACAAGGAUGGGGAUGCGUCCGAUUAGCUUGACGGCGGGGUAACGGCCCACCGUGGCUACGAUCGGUAGGGGUUCUGAGAGGAAGGUCCCCCACAUUGGAACUGAGACACGGUCCAAAACUCCUACGGGAGGCAGCAGUGAGGAAUAUUGGUCAAUGGACGGGAGUCUGAACCAGCCAAGUAGCGUGCAGGAUGACGGCCCUAUGGGUUGUAAAACUGCUUUUUAUAAGGGAAUAAAAGUGAGUCUCGUGAGACUUUUUGUCAUGUACCUUAUGAAUAAGACGGC